UCUCGAACUGGUUAUCUAUAGAUUAUAUUCGUCAUGACUAACGCAUUUGGAAGCUGUGGGGCUCUAACCCGUAAAAUGAAAUCCGAGUACUGGAAUAUGGCUGGCUUCUCCACUGAGCCCUGGUACGAUCUAUUUACUACAUUGGGUGCACGUAAUACUCCAAUAAUUCCCACUGCUGCCGCUGGCACAGCCUUGACUUACAAUCAUCUGAUGUUGUCAAGAAUGCUGCUCUAAAUCGGGGGAAGCUUAUCCGCUCGUAACUUACUAUAUAGAAACCAACUUGAUUAAGGAACCGAAACACUAAUCUGGCAACAAACACGAACACUGAAUAGAUUGGGCAGUUCUUUGAGGCAACAAUAAUUGAAUCGUUACAUCAAUUCUCUUAUUUCAGCAGCAUUCAUUAAUUCAAUAAUAAGGACAAAUAUUCGUAUCUUAA